UGCAAGUCGAACGAACUGCGGAGGGCUUGCUCUCCAAGGUUAGUGGCGAACGGGUGCGUAACACGUGAGAAACGUACCCACCGGUGGGGGAUAGCCGGCCCAACGGCCGGGUAAUACCGCAUGCGACGCCUUCCGGGCAUCCGGAGGGCGGGAAAGCAGCAAUGCGCCGGUGGAGCGUCUCGCGGCCUAUCAGCUUGUUGGUGAGGUAAUGGCUUACCAAGGCUACGACGGGUAGCUGGUCUGAGAGGAUGAUCAGCCACAUUGGGACUGAGACACGGCCCAGACUCCUACGGGAGGCAGCAGUGGGGAAUAUUGCGCAAUGGCCGAAAGGCUGACGCAGCGACGCCGCGUGCGAGAUGAAGGCCUUCGGGUCGUAAACCGCUGUCAGGAGGGACGAAACUCUGACGGUACCUCCAGAGGAAGCACCGGCUAACUCCGUGCCAGCAGCCGCGGUAAUACGGAGGGUGCGAGCGUUGUCCGGAAUCACUGGGCGUAAAGGGCGCGUAGGCGGCUCAGUAAGUAGGGGGUGAAAUCUCACGGCUCAACCGUGAAACGGCCUCCUAAACUGCUGGGCUUGAGCACGGUAGAGGCAGAUGGAAUUCCCGGUGUAGCGGUGGAAUGCGUAGAUAUCGGGAAGAACACCAGUGGCGAAGGCGGUCUGCUGGGCCGUUGCUGACG
rnacentral:rRNA from 1 species